AGGGCGGUAGGUCAAUUGGUAGACUAUCGGUCUCCAAAACCGAGGGUUGCGAGUUCGAGUCUCGCCCGCCCUGCCA
rnacentral:tRNA from 1 species